AAAUUUUGUGACCUGGAGCCACCGACAAACCGACGUGACACUGGCGUUACAAAAGUGUCCCACACGAAAGUACUGUCAUUUACCAGUGAGGCGAUCACUUCUGUCAAAGUAAGCUCCGUUCACUGCUGCUUCGAUGUAAACAACUUUUCUAAAUACAAAUUGCGAAGGAAGUGUGAGGCACGAUUUUGUGAGAAUUAUUGGACAAAACACCAAGGAAAAUCAUUUUGUAAGUUUCCAAAUCAAUGCAAAAGAUGUGAGAAGUACAUAAAACAAUACGCAUUGGAAUUUGCGAAGAAAAACAAAAAGGGGAUUUAGCAGUUUCUUUUCUGUGUCAGUGUAGUAAGCGAAUCAUUAUAGAGAUGGCGCUAGUGUUUAACGUAUUUUCAUUUGAAAUAAGGAGACAACUUUUGAAGCUCAUUUUGUUCGAAGUGUCACGUCGGUUUGUCGGUGCUGGAGCAGCCAGGAAAAAAAGUUGACUAAAGUUGACAAAACUUGACGUUCGUGAAAAAGCGUAAACAAACAGCUAUUUGGCGCAGUUGUGACCCAUUGUUAUGAUAAUAAUGCUAAAAUGCAUGAUUCUAAUUGAUUUAUGUACCUAGUUAGUGCUUCUUAAACAAAAUAUCGAUGAUAUUCAGAUGUUGGAACUUUUUGUCGCUCUUGUGUAUGUUUUUCCCAAGUAGCCUUAAGAAACUCUAUUUGAUUAUUAACAGUUUCUUAAAGCCGUUAAAAAUCAAAUAGAGUUUCUUAAGGGAAUAUGACAUUUGCUUGCGUUACAGCAUAACGACAUGUUCCGUUACCUUGUUAUUUUUGACUCAGACCAAUAUAACUGACAGUGUUAUUCAAAUUUCGUCAACACUAUGUAGUUUCUAUGUAGUUUAAGCAGAAUUUAAAAACCAUUUUAUUUUUAAUAUUUAUUUAAUUAAGCACUCUGAUUUUAAUUGCAAAACAUUUCAUUAUUUUAAUCACAUGUUUAAUAUUUGAUUUCAGUUUAUCUUUAUUUGAUAUGACAAUUAAAAAGAAAAUAGAAUAAAUAUUUUGUUUAAUUUUGAUGGAGAUUUUCGACGUAUUAACACAUCGCAUACCAUUUUCCAAACUAAAAAUAUAUUAUAUUUAAAAUCAUUAAAUUAUUUGAUUUAAUUAAUUUGCUCUUGAUGAAGAUAUUUUUUGAGACAUACUGUAUGUGCUGCGCCGCCAUUCAUAAUGUCAAAAAGUUCGUCAAGCUUCGUGUGUGAUGAAAGGCGACAAGAAAAGCAAGCAGCCGCAAAUUUUACAGCUUGUAAUUUGUGUAUUAUCAAGCUUGUACAACAGCAUUUAAACUCGGUGGUAGAGUUCCGCCCGCUCCAUCAAAUACAGAGAAUGACGCCGUCCAAUAUUGUUCCUGCCUCGCGGUCGUGCACUACCGUCAGCACUGCACUAGCCGCAACAAAACAUGCGCCCCUUGUCCCACAUUUCCAUAAUCUCGACGGUGGUCAACAGCUGUACGACGGCCGCCUACAGCCACCGGGAUAGCCUCGCUCUCUAGUGCGAUACUGAUGAACCUGCGGCGCAAGAGCACGCAAGCGUUUGGUGGCGGCGGCUGUGGAAUGAUGGUGCACCUCGGUAAAUAUGGUGCACGAGAAGAAUUCUUCCCGCAAAAGGCAUCCUUUUGGGCACUGAAAUCGAACGACGCCUACGGAGACAGUAACAACAACAACCAUCCGGACAGGAGACGGAUCUCAGUCGGUUGUAUGAAAACAGCAAGGUGCACUAGAUCGUGAAACACUGGCCGUCCAGUACGACACAGGCCUUAUCAGCAGAUGGCAUGGAAAUGCCGCGUACAAUGAGGCCGCACCGUGACGCCCCGCGCUGUAGCCCUCGUUUACGCACCGAAGUUAAGCAGUUCCAUCGGGAUGUCUUCACCGCGCCGGAUCAUUUGCGGGACGAUAGCGACAAAUGUCCCGCCGUAGGAUCCAACCAAUAUGGUGGAUAAUUAAUAUAAAAAAUACAAAUUACAUUAAUUUAAUUCAUAAAAAAAUGAAAA